GUGGAUAGAGCUCGGUGGUGGAGCAUGUGCUUGGCGUGCAUGAGGUCCUGGGUUCAAUCUCCAGUAUCUCCA
rnacentral:tRNA from 1 species